rnacentral:misc_RNA from 1 species
UCUCCGUAGGUGAACCUGCGGAGGGAUCAUUACAGAGUUCAUGCCCUACCGGGUAGAUCUCCCACCCUAUGUUAUUAUUACUUUGUUGCUUUGGCGGGCCGUUAGGCUCCGGCCCGACUACCGGCCCCGGCUGGUAAGCGCCCGCCAGAGGACCCAAAACCCUGAGUGUUAGUGUCGUCUGAGUACUAUAUAAUAGUUAAAACUUUCAACAACGAAUCUCUUGGUUCUG